rnacentral:rRNA from 1 species
GACGUAGGGCGCGAGCGUUGUCCGGAUUUAUUGGGCGUAAAGAGCUCGUAGGCGGCUUGUUGCGUCGACCGUGAAACCCGGGGCUCAACUUCGGGCUUGCAGUGGAUACGGGCUGGCUGGAGGCAGGCAGGGAGAACGGAAUUCCCGGUGUAGCGGUGAAAUGCGCAGAUAUCGGGAGGAACACCGGUGGCGAAGGCGGCGACCUGGUCCGAUACUGACGCUGAGGCGCGAAGCUAGGGAGCAACAGG